GCAAUAUUAAUAUGCAUCUCUGAUUUACUAACAAUCAAGGGUUAAGCCAUAAUGUCUGAAUAAAGAAGUCAGUGUUAAUUUAAUGUUAUCAUAUACUUUUUGUAUCUAACAAUUUUAUGUAGAAAACAUUUUAUCAUUUAUAUGUUGUAUGUGUUUUGCAUUUAUAUUAUUUUACUAUUUAACAAAUCCAAAACAGUAAAAUCAGGUUAAAUGUACCGGUAGCCCAACUUUGCAACUUUGAUUUUUGCAGAAUAAAGCUUUUUAUGUUUUAUUCCAUGCAUCCCACAGAGCUUACUUCCUCCAUGUGGUGUUCUGUGAAUUGCUAUAUAAUAUUUGUGACACUCGGUGAAGCACCCUGCUGUUGUCCUGCGUAUGACCCCCGGUACCCAUCUGUCACAGCAUCUCACCUAUCCAUUCACUCCUCUGUUCCCCCUGGCUUCUUUGGAUCACAGCCAACAGACUCAGAUUGCUGUCUUUUACUCCAGUCAUAAGGAAAUCGAGACUUCAACAAAGGAUGUUGCUCCAGUUCUUGUACCCCGGGGUCUAAUUUAGGAUAAAAGAGUGGUAAAUGCCAUUUACAUAUGUUUAAUAAAGUAUGAAAAUAUCUGGGGAUUACAUUACGUGUUUAGAAUCACUGUGUGUUCGCCGAAGAACAUCUGUAAUUCAAGUUUACAUGGUUCAUUAAUCAAUUAGUAUGUCAACAUUGCUGGUUUUGUUUAUUUUUUUGUUUUUUGCUAACAAAUCCAUAUAUUUAUAUAUAUCUUUUUUUUUGCAUUCUCUCUAGUAUAUUAGUAUAUGGUGGAGGUUUUUUUAAUUUAUUUUCUUACUAAAAACUUGGCAAACGGUAAAACAGAUUUGUAGUGCUCAGCAGUAUGAAACAGAGAAAGAUUAUGAAGUUAUGUUGCGGUACAAAGCCUGACAAUUGUUUCUCAGGUCAGCCAACCUGACCUAAGAAUCAAUUCCUUAACUACGCUUUUCUGCCACCUGAAGCAUAGAAAAUGGUAUCUUAAGAAAGAAACACAGGCGUGUGAUAUAAACGCUUGCUCACAAAAAACCCAGCUGUUUGCUAAAUCAUCUGUUGAAGAAACUAUAGUGCCAAAACUCAUUUUAAAUACCUUGUGUUAAUGCCUCUCAUAUUUAAUCGCUCACUGAACAGAUGUUGGGUUCUUUAAUUAAGUAACCUCUGAGUUUUGUUACCUCCCAGUAAGUGCUAAUGCAAUCUGCUUCACAAACCUGUAACUAGAAUUGCUGAACAUCCUAUUUUCCACGUUGCUGAGCUGAUUCUAAUGAUCACCUGAUAAUGGCCUAUAACAGUAAUAAGUUCUGAGGUGGUAAAGCCAGCAGUCAACAGGUUUAAUCCAACCUGAAAUGCUGAACUUUAUUGUCUAACUUAAAACAUAUUAAUCAUAUAGUCAGGAAACUUUACAUUAUUCAGCUGAUGCUGUGAGAUAAAGGUUUGAUUUCUAUUCCAAUGAAUUUUCUAAAGUUUAGGAUACUAAAUUAAUUCAAAGUACCUAAUUAGUGGACCAAUAGUGACUAUUGUCUCCUGAAGGGCCAUAGCCAGAGGCAAAUGUUUCAAAAGUUUUUUUUUUUUUUUUUUUACAAAACAACUUGAGGUAAUAGCAUUUCUCUAGCAUUUUAAGUUUGGGCAAAGUAGCAGUGACAGCCCCUGUGGUCCGUGACAUUGUUUGUAGGGUUUAAUUAAGUCACAGCCACUCUUGAUGGAGUUAGUUAAAGUCAUGAGCUCCUGUUGACUUUGGAAUGGUUGAGUAAAGCACAUUCAUGUUGUUGCUUUGAUUGUUUGUAAUCAUUAAAGGAUCCGGAGAAGUUAAAGGAAGGGUACAGUGGAUCCAGUGUUAUACCAAAAAGACAAUAGCUAUCUGUAGAAGGUCUGAAUAAAUCUGCUGGAUUACUUAAACUGUAUCCCAUCCUGAGUUAUGGAAGUUCAACCUGCAUAGUAUUAAACCCAAACAGUGCAUCAAAAGAGAAAAUCACACUUAAGAUAAGAUUUGUGUAAAGAAAGCCAUUAAAAAGUUGUAACAUUUUAAAAGGUGUUUUUUUUUCAAUCCAUCUCCUCAGUGAGCACACAUUUCCUCAGGGCUUCUGUAUUUCUGGCAUUGGGACUGAUCAAACAAGACAUUACAUUUAGUAAUUUUGAUGCAUGGAAACUAAUGAGAUGAUUACUGUGUAUUAGAUACAACUUUAAUUCUUAUUCCUUUUUUUAAAAAAUUGGCAAAUAUGAUACAUUGAAAAUUCAUGGGUGGUCAUUACGAA
ensembl:lncRNA